UUAGCUCAUAUUUGUAUGGAAUGGGAUCGUUUGCGUACGUUUGCCGCUAGGGGCGCUGUUCCAACUGCAUACUAAAUUGGGUUA
rnacentral:pre_miRNA from 1 species